rnacentral:lncRNA from 1 species
UUUUUUUUUUUUUUUUUUUUUUUGCUUUUUAGGGACGUUCCUAGGCUAGGGGUCCAAUUGGAGCUGCAGCCGCCAGCCUACACCACAGCCACAGCAAUGCAGGAUCCAAGCCACAUCUGCAACCUAUACCACAGCUCACAGCAGUGCCAGAUCCUUAAUCCACUGAGCGAGGCCAGGGAUCGAAGCUGAAUCCUCACGGAUACCAGUCGGGUUCCAUACCACUGAGCCGCAACAGGAACGCCAACCCUGCUCUGCUUUGACAGACCCCACCCAGCGCAGCAACUACAACUGGCCUUAUGUUCUUUGCUUUUUUUCAAGGAUACGUGAUUUAAUCACUACUGUGUGUUUUGGGUACGUUUUCUCACUCUUGAGUGAUCAAAACACUUGUCAUCUUCCACAUUUACAUCGAGAAACCCCAGCAGGGGUGUGAAGAUGUAGAGAAAAGGGCGUUCUCCUUGAGGAAAGGGAUAAAAUGGGGCUGUUGUAUUUCUCCACCUCUGUGUUUUCAGAGCCCUUGAGAGAGCCGCAUGCUUGUUAUUUAAAAGGUUAUGAUAUUCAGAGAGAAAAAAAUAUCGUCAGGGUACAGUAGCUGCACUGGUUUUUGCUCCAAAGGCAGGAAAUAGCUUGGCCAACCUGAAAAUAAAAUAUGCUUCUCCUAAGCAGCUAAGCUUGUUAGACUCCCAGGCUGGUGGCAGAAACAGCGUUGCAUACAUAAUGUGGACAUGCCAAUUCCUGUUCUUCUUCCAGAGAUUAAAAAAAAAAAAAAAAAAAAAAUUUCUCCUACUUUUCAAUUCCACAAAAAGUUUCCAAAUUACAAAAAAAAGAUUUUGCUCCUAUGUUUCAGCCAUCUUUGUUCCCCAGAUUUAUUGUUGUUUUCUGUUUUUCAUUUUUCCCAGCAGACAUUACCCAAUACACCCUUAGGGAAAGGCAAGCUCUCAGUCCAUCCACUGUGCUGAUGCCUCGGGAACCCGCUUUUUCCAGAGAAGAGUCUAAAUGGGUCACUUCCCUCUGCUGGCCUCACUGCAAAUGCUACCCACGCUUUUGCCCCCUAGUCUAUUUUCAGAAUCGAAUGACCAGCUCAAUUCUGUGAGGCCUUGACUACAUCCCGUUAAGGUCACGGUUGGUACUUAAAAGUCGUGGUCUUUUUUUCCCCCCCAAAGGCUAGUUUUUAUCCUCCUCCUCCCUCGCCCUUCCUCCCUUUCCCUUUUCCCUCUGCUUCUUCAAUAGAGCUGUGUUAGGAAGGGUCUGGCCACACACAGAGAAUAUUACAGGAAUAAAACCUAGGAAAGAGCACACGGUUAUGAAAUAUUAAACUUAAACUUCUCUUUAUUUGGCUCCCUCAAUUCUCCUCCCCCUCCAAGAAAACACCAACCCCAACAGAUUUGUGGUUCGUGUUAUCUUCAGCUGUAAAAGCCAGCUGAACCAACAGAGCAGGCUUCUCUGUUUCCUGCUGCCUAGCGUUUUCAAAAGGAGCUACUGUAAAGGAACAGUUGGCUCUUGGGCCUUACGGACAACGUUAUUAGAGGGAAGAGAUUAAACUCGAAUCCGGCAGAUAAAGAGCGCUGUACGUUGUAGCGUUUCAUACAAAUGAAAGCUGCAACCAUCAGGAGUUAGUCCACGCCAGUUAAAGAGAUGAUGGGCCAAGGACGGGAAAGUGAGACUGUGUGUGCCAAACAUGCCAUUCCGCUUUUUCAGUAGAGAGUUGUCUUUUUCUUUUUUUUUUUUUUUUUAAGAUGAAGAAGAAAGAACGUUCAAGGAUCUGUCCAUUUUUUCAGUCAGCUCCAACCUAGGAACUUCAGUGGGAAUUUGGCCUGGGGAAAGAUUGCCACAUCAGACAUUGAUUCAGCCUCAGCCAACCCAUUUCAAGGUGUCACCCAUUAAUUUAUUGACUGCAAAGAAGAAUUUUGCCCAAGGCCAGAACGCACGAUUGGUCCCAGUUGACCUGAAAUAGAUUUCCACAAGUGGCUGGGGAAAGGAGUUUCUCUUUAGGAUGUCUCUCCUUGGUCCAUUCUUUCUUUCUUUAUUCCCUCUCCGGCUCCAUCACAUGGAUAACAGAGCAUUCAAAGAGCUUCAUUAGUCCAUGACGGGCAAACAGCUGCUCAAAGGAUUUGUGACUGGAUUGAUCCUGAGGCCGACGGGACAGUUGGCACAGGGCAGAAAUGCUUUCCGAUUUUGACAUCAUUCCCCUUUUUUUCUUUCUCAUCUCAUGUAUUCAUUAAAGGUUCAUUUGGUAAAAGAAGAGACGAUAUUCUUACAGAGUGGCUCUUUGCAUUAUGAUGAAAGUCUUGGUUUAUACAUGUUUUCCUGUAAGUACAAGAUGGCUGCUAUUUUUUAUUCCUGAAAUGAAUAUUUAACAGGCAAGCUACAAAAGUCAGAAAGAAUAUUAAAGUGAUAUUCUGGCGGUGGCGGGGGGUGAUGCUAUGCAGAGCAUUCUUAAUCAAUAGUUAGUCAUCAAGACGGGAAAACUAAUAGUCGUUUUAUGUAGCUGGGAAACAGACAAAUGUUGUGCCAAGAUUAAAAAGUAACUUCCCUUUCUUCCAAUGUUGAGGCAAUUUUUAAGACCCUCUGUGGCACAAAGCUGAAUUCAAGCUGCCUUUGUAAGACCUGGAGGCCCAGAGGCUAGAAACCAAUUUCUACCUUAGAGAAGUGAACAACCACAGAGGUGCAGAAGGAAGCUUGUAUAAGGAUGGUCUUUGCAGCAUUUGUUUACAGUAGCUAGAAACAAACAACCCUAAAGCCACACAAUUACAAGUCAUGGGGGAAUGGCUAAAUAAACUAGGGCUUAUCUGUGCCACAGAACACUACAAAACAGUUCAAAAGAAUGAGGUGGAAUUCAUGUACUAAUGAGGACCUAGCUCUAAGACGCAGCAAAAACAAACACAUACUGAACCCUUGUAUAUUGUUGAUCAGAAUGUAAAUUGGUCCAACCACUAUGGAAGACAAUAGGGAGGUUAGAUAAAAAAAUACAUCCACCUACGAUCCAGCGAUUCCACUUCUGAAGGUACCCCUCAAAAAAUGAAAUCAAGUGGGGUUCCCAUCGUGGCGCAGUGGUUACGGAAUCCGACUAGGAACCACGAGGUUGUUGGUUCGAUCCCUGGCCUUGCUCAGUGGGUUAACGAUCCAGCAUUGCCGUAAGCUGUGGUGUAGGUCACAGACACGGCUCAGAUCCCGCGUUGCUGUGGCUCUGGCGUAGGUUGGUGGCUACAGCUCCUCGAUUAGACCCCUAGCCUGGGAACCUCCAUAUGCCGCAGGUGCGGCCCUAGAAAAGG